rnacentral:rRNA from 1 species
UACGUAGGGGGCAAGCGUUAUCCGGAAUUACUGGGUGUAAAGGGAGCGUAGACGGUUAAACAAGUCUGAAGUGAAAUGCCGGGGCUCAACCCCGGAGCUGCUUUGGGAACUGUAGAACUGGAGUGUCGGAGGGGUAAGCGGAAUUCCCAGUGUAGCGGUGAAAUGCGUAGAUAUUGGGAGGAACACCGGAGGCGAAGGCGGCUUACUGGAAGAUAACUGACGUUGAGGCUCGAAGGCGUGGGUAGCAAACAGG